rnacentral:rRNA from 1 species
AAUGAUACUUGGUUGAUCCUGCCAGUAGUCAUAUGCUUGUCUCAAAGAUUAAGCCAUGCAUGUCUAAGUAUGAAUUAAUUCAAACUGUGAAACUACGAAUGGCUCAUUAAAAUAGUUAUAGUUUGUUUGAUGGUAUCUGCUACUCGGAUAACCGUAGUAAUUAUAGAGCUAAUACGUGCAACAAACCUCGACUUCUGGAAGGGAUGCAUUUAUUAGAUAAAAGGUCGAUACGAGCUCUGCCCAUUGCUAUGAUGAUUCAUGAUAACUCAACGGGUCGCAUACCCUUGUACCGGUGAUACAUCAUUCAAAUUUCAGCCCUAUCAACUUUCGAUGGUAGGAUAGUGGCCUACUAUGGUGGUGAUGGAUGAUGGAGAAUUAGGGUUCAAUUUCGAAGAGAGAGCCUGAGAAACGGUUACCACGUCCAUGGAAGGCAACAGGCGCACAAAUUACCCAAUCCUGACACGGGGAGAUAGUGAUAAUAAAUAACAAUUACGGGCUCUUAGAGUCUGGUAAUUGGAAUGAGUACAAUCUAAAUCCCUUAAUGAAGAUCCAUUUGAGGGCAAGUCUGGUGCUAGCAGUCGUGGUAAUUCUAGCUCCAAUAGCGUAUAUUUAAGUUGUUGCAGUUAAAAAGCUUGUAGAUGGACCUUGGGUUAGGUCGGCUGGUCCGCCUAUGGUGUACACCAAUUGUCUCGUCCCUUUUGCCGGUGAUGUGCUCCUAACCUUAACUGGUCCGGUCAUGCCUCCAGCACUGUUACUUUUGAAGAAAUUAGAGUGCUCAAGGUAAGCUUACUCUCUGGAUAUAUUAGCAUGGGAUAAGGAUUGACAGACUGCGAGCUCUUUCUAGAUUCCAUGGGUGGUGGUGCAUGGUCUUUCUUAGUUGGUGGAGCAAUUUGUCUGGUAAAUUCCAUUAACGAAUAAACCUCAACCUGCUAACUAGCUAUGCGGGGGUACUCCUCUAUGGCCCACUUCUUAGAGGGACUAUGGCCUUUUAGGCCACAAAAGUUUGAGGCAAUAACACGUCUGUGAUGCCUUUAGAUGUUCUGGGCUGCACGCGUGCUAUACUGACGGAUUCAAUGAGUUUUAGCCUUGGUCGACAAGUUUAGGUAAUCUUUGAAAUUUCAUUGUGAUGGGGAUAGAUCAUUGCAAUUGUUGGUAUUCAACGAGGAAUUCCUAGUAAGUACAAGUCAUCGGCAUGCGUUGACUACAUCCCUAUUCUUUGUACACACCGCCCAUUGCUCCUACUGAUUGAAUGGUCUGAUGAAGUGUUUGAAUCAUGAUGAUGUAGAUGGUCUGUUGCCCGUGACUUCAUGAGAAGUCCACUGAACCUUAUCAUUUAGAGGAAGGAGAAGUCGUAAAAAGGCUUUCGUAGGUGAACCUGCAGAAGGAUCAUUGUCGAA